rnacentral:misc_RNA from 1 species
CAGCUCUCUUCGAAUUCAUCGAACCUCCCAAUGCAAAUUCUGCUGUAAUUUUACGAUAAAGCAACAAAGAAGAACAUUCAUCGAAGAGGAUACAGUGCUUAGCAUAAAAGGCUUUCAAAAUGCAAGCUUCAACUUUCACAGUCAAAGGCAACACAGCAUUUGGCCUUCAAAAUCGAAGGAUUUUGCAAGGGGUUAGUGAUUUGCGUAGUAGGACUUUAGCUGGUAAAAGUCUUCGGAUGACGGGCAGUUGCUUCGGAGUAAGUAUGGAUUCUGCUUCAAUGGGAAUCGAACUUGGCCGUGCUAGGAGGACUGUUCAAAGUGUCUUCGGUUCGUCCGCAAAGGCCAGAUCACACAGAGUUCGAGCUGCUGGAGAGGAUAUUGAGGAUGCAGCACCUCUCAAAGUUCAAGGCCAAUCAUCUGGAUCAGUACUUCCCUAUGUGGGUGUAGCUUGUCUGGCAGCAAUUUUAUUUGGAUAUCACCUAGGGGUGGUGAAUGGUGCCCUUGAGUACCUAGCUAAGGAUCUUGGGAUUGCCGAGAACACUGUUAUACAAGGAUGGAUUGUUAGCACAGUUCUUGCUGGUGCCUUUGUUGGUUCAUUUACUGGUGGAGCUCUGGCUGAUAAAUUUGGCCGAACAAAGACAUUUAUAUUGGAUGCAAUUCCACUUUCAGUUGGUGCGUUUCUAUGUACCACUGCCCAGAGUGUUCAGGCUAUGAUCAUUGGACGCUUACUUACUGGAAUUGGCAUUGGCAUCUCAUCUGCUAUUGUGCCACUUUACAUAUCUGAGAUCUCACCCACGGAAAUUCGCGGCACACUGGGAACGGUCAAUCAGCUAUUCAUUUGCAUUGGAAUUCUUGUUGCACUAGUGGCUGGAUUGCCUUUGUCUGGAAAUCCUUCAUGGUGGAGAACAAUGUUUGGUCUCGCACUUAUUCCAUCUGUUUUACUUGCAAUAGGAAUGGUAUUUUCUCCCGAAAGUCCUCGGUGGCUCUAUCAGCAAGGGAGAAUAUCUGAAGCUGAGACAUCUAUUAAAAGGCUAUAUGGUAAAGAAAAAGUUGCUGAGGUUAUGGGUGAUUUGGAAGCUUCUGCCCAGGGUUCUUCAGAACCAGAUGCUGGGUGGCUUGAUCUAUUUAGUAGCCGUUAUAGGAAAGUUGUUAGCAUUGGUGCAGCUAUGUUCUUUUUGCAGCAGUUGGCUGGGAUAAAUGCAGUUGUCUAUUAUUCCACUGCCGUGUUCCGAAGUGCUGGAAUUACAUCUGAUGUAGCAGCCAGUGCUCUGGUUGGAGCAGCCAACGUCUUUGGGACAACGGUGGCAUCCUCUUUGAUGGACAAACAAGGAAGGAAGAGUCUCUUGCUCAUAAGCUAUACUGGAAUGGCUGCAUCAAUGAUGUUGCUUUCCUUGUCAUUCACUUGGAAGGUCCUGACUCCAUAUUCUGGCACACUGGCUGUUCUUGGUACUGUCCUCUAUGUGUUGUCCUUUUCACUUGGUGCUGGUCCUGUGCCUGCUCUUCUUCUUCCAGAGAUAUUUGCCUCCAGAAUCAGAGCAAAAGCAGUUGCUUUAUCCUUGGGCAUGCAUUGGAUAUCAAAUUUUUUCAUUGGUCUCUAUUUCUUGAGCGUUGUAAACAAGUUUGGGAUCAGCACCGUGUAUUUGGGAUUUGCAGCCAUUUGUCUUCUUGCUGUCUUGUACAUAGCAGGUAAUGUUGUGGAAACAAAGGGAAGAUCCUUGGAGGAAAUAGAGCGUGCUCUUAACCCUGCAAUUUGAUUUGGAAAUUUGUCGAAAGUGCCUGUGGUAAUAAUUUCGUUGCGGCUCAUGAUUGACCUUAAGAUGGGUGGUGCCUUUUUUCCUUUUUUGAAAGGUUUCUUUGUUCUACCGAGAGUAAUGGCAUUAGGGGCAUGUUUCUUGUCCUCCAUUUUUCUGUCCACCUUACAAAUGUUAAAUCAGCUGUAACCAGCUUUGAGAGAACUACCUUUGCUAUGUAUUUUUGGAAUUAGAACUGGGGCAACACUAAUUUGGGUCGCUGGUGCUGAAUGAUAUAUUUCCCGAAGAUUUUGCUAUAUGAUUCUUGCAACAUAUUUUACAUGACAUCUUAUCCGACAUCUGAAUUAUGGAAAUAUAUAUGUAAAUAUUUUCGAGGUAAGUUGUUCAGCUUGAAGAGAUGACUAUUGAUCAAGAUGUACCAUAGGUGCAGUUGCAGCUGGGCAUCCCACUGCUGACUGCUGAAAAAUAAACUUCAAAGAUCAGGUACCAUCUCAGGAAAUGGAAAUUUG